rnacentral:rRNA from 1 species
UACGGGGGGGGCAAGCGUUGUUCGGAAUUACUGGGCGUAAAGGGCUCGUAGGCGGCCAACUAAGUCAGACGUGAAAUCCCUCGGCUUAACUGAGGACGUGCGGAAGAAACUGCAAGGCUUGAGUCCGGGAGAGGGGGUGGAAUUCCCAGUGUAGCGGUGAAAUGCGUAGAUAUUGGGAGGAACACCGGUGGCGAAGGCGGCCCCCUGGACCGGUACUGACGCUGAGGCGCGAAAGCGUGGGUAGCAAACGGG